rnacentral:rRNA from 1 species
UCAGGCCUAACACAUGCAAGUCGAGCGGUAGCGGGAAGAGCUUGCUCUUUGCCGACGAGCGGCGGACGGGUGCGUAACACGUAGGAAUCUGCCUGGUAGUGGGGGAUAGCCCGGAGAAAUCCGGAUUAAUACCGCAUACGCACUAGCUCUUCAAGAGCGGUGGAAAGGAGGGGAUCUUCGGACCUUUCGCUAUCAGAUGAGCCUGCGUCGGAUUAGCUUGUUGGUGGGGUAAAGGCCUACCAAGGCGACGAUCCGUAGCUGGUCUGAGAGGAUGAUCAGCCACACUGGGACUGAGACACGGCCCAGACUCCUACGGGAGGCAGCAGUGGGGAAUAUUGCACAAUGGGCGAAAGCCUGAUGCAGCCAUGCCGCGUGUGUGAAGAAGGCCCUAGGGUUGUAAAGCACUUUCAGUGGAGAGGAAAGGUUGAAGGUUAAUACCCUUCAGCUGUGACGUUACCCACAGAAGAAGCACCGGCUAACUCCGUGCCAGCAGCCGCGGUAAUACGGAGGGUGCGAGCGUUAAUCGGAAUUACUGGGCGUAAAGCGUGCGUAGGCGGCCACCUAAGUUGGAUGUGAAAGCCCCGGGCUCAACCUGGGAACUGCAUCCAAAACUGGGUGGCUAGAGUACGGGAGAGGAGUGUGGAAUUUCCUGUGUAGCGGUGAAAUGCGUAGAUAUAGGAAGGAACACCAGUGGCGAAGG